rfam:Planctomycetes bacterium RIFOXYD12_FTLL_42_12 rifoxyd3_full_scaffold_2676_curated, whole genome shotgun sequence.
GGGCGAUUAGCUCAGCUGGCUAGAGCGCUUGCUCGACAAGCAAGAGGUCACUGGUUCGAGUCCAGUAUCGCCCA